CUAAAACGAAAGCAUUGCACAGGGAUCUCUUUCUUCAUCAACGAAGAAAGCUUCUUCGUUCAACAAGCUGAAACGAAGAAAGUAGCAAAAAAGCUGCGCUUGGAGGAAAACUGAAACGAGAAAGAGGCUGGGAACAAAAGAAGGUAGCUGCACAUGGAUAACAAAAGAAGGGGAUGAUAACGAAGAAGGGCUGAAAAGCAAAAAGCUGCGCGGACAAAAAAUGACUCCACCCCCCUUUUGGAUCGUUGUCUUCACGAGACUACCCCUGGCCUCGUUUUAAUUUUCCUUCAGAAAACCAGAAAAAGGAGAACAAUACAAGCACCCUCCCCACGUCUUCUUCUUCAUCGAACGACCCCCCACGUAGCUUUCAUCUUCUUCUUCGCUGGAACGAUAGAAGAAAACCCUAGGAGCCUGAAAGAAGAAGCAGCGAUGCCAACCAGCUUCGCCGGAAAUCCGGUGACCUCACCCCUCUCAUUCCAUUACUGCCUCAUCGGCAAAUGACAACACAAACCAGCGACCAAACAACUUAAACCAGCCGCUGUUCAUCGGAAACCAGAGGCACGAUGUCACCGGCGACCACCAUUGAAGCCGGCCAACACACGCACACACAGUCAUGCACAUGAACGGAGUGAGGGAGCGAGCGUAAGGCAGCUGAUGUUUCCGAGUCAUUUUUGAGUUCGAGUCAUGUAGAAUGUUGCCGCGAUCUGUUCGUAUGUCGAGGUAAGGCGGGUUCGGGUCCGGCGAGGUCGUAAAUUUGUCGAGGUUAACGUUCGUAGCUCCGGUGCUGGUUCUGUUUACUUUUGGUGUGGAUUUAUUUACCAGAGUUUAAGCAUGACAGACACUCCAUGACCAUCCAGUCAGAAUCGCUCAGUCGGGAGUUGCUUAAGGAGAUU